AUUGAACGCUGGCGGCAGGCUCAACACAUGCAAGUCGAGCGGGGUGAUGGUGCUUGCACUAUCACUUAGCGGCGGACGGGUGAGUAAUGCUUAGGAAUCUGCCUAUUAGUGGGGACAACAUCUCGAAAGGGAUGCUAAUACCGCAUACGUCCUACGGGAGAAAGCAGGGGGUCACUUGUGACCUUGCGCUAAUAGAUGAGCCUAAGUCGGAUUAGCUAGUUGGUGGGGUAAAGGCCUACCAAGGAGACGAUCUGUAGCGGGUCUGAGAGGAUGGAACGCCACACUGGGACUGAGACACGGCCCAGACUCCUACUGGAGGCAGCAGUGGGGAAUAUUGGACAAUGGGGGGAACCCUGAUCCAGCCAUGCCGCGUGUGUGAAGAAGGCCUUAUGGUUGUAAAGCACUUUAAGCGAGGAGGAGGCUCUUUUGGUUAAUACCCAAGAUGAGUGGACGUUACUCGCAGAAUAAGCACCGGCUAACUCUGUGCCAGCCGCCGCGGUAA
rnacentral:rRNA from 1 species